rnacentral:rRNA from 1 species
ACGAACGCUGUCGGCUUGCUUAACACAUGCCAGUCGAACGGAAAGGCCCUGCUUGCAGGGUACUCGAGUGGCGAACGGGUGAGUAACACGUGGUUGAUCUGCCCUUCACUUCGGGAUAAGCCUGGGAAACUGGGUCUAAUACCUGUUAGGAGCCAUUUUUCGUGUGAUGUUUGGAAAGUUUUUUCGGUGUAGUAUGAGCUCGCGGCCUAGCAGCUUGUUGGUGGGGUAAUGGCCUACCAAGGCGGCGACGGGUAGCCGGCCUGAGAGGGUGGACGGCCACAUUGGGACUGAGAUACGGCCCAGAAGCCUACAGGAGGCAGCAGUGGGGAAUAGUGGAAAAUGGGCGCAAGCCUGAUGCAGCGGCGCCGCGUGGGGGAUGACGGCCUGCAGGUUGUAAACUCCUUUCGCUAGGGACGAAGCUUUUUGGUACGGUAGCUAGAUAAGAAGCCCCGGCUAACUACGUG